rnacentral:lncRNA from 1 species
GUGACCUUUGGCCACAACUGCAAUCAGUAAAAUUAUUUGAGGUGUUUGUAUUACCUCUGCUUGAUACUUGUGCUGCCUCUGGAUGGGCAGCAAAACAUCCGAUGUGAACUUGGGAAGAAACUAAAAGGUGCUCGGGAGUAAAAGAAGACUGAAGAAUAUCUUCAAAGUACAUGGUGACCAGAGAUGCCGCUCUAUCACCAGAAAGAGCCAUCUUCUGUGCACUUGUAUUUUCCAUGUAUGAUGAAGCAUCUGCUGCCUGCUUUCUUCAUUAUCAUCAUAAAGAGGGAGAGUUUAAAAGCUAGAAGGAUGGUGAAAGAGUGUAGCAUGAACUUGAAAGUAUUUACUUACAGAAUUUUGAACCCUCAUGCAGAAAAAGAAAUUGAACCUGCUGCUACCUG